CCUACGGGAGGCUGCAGUGAGGAAUAUUGGUCAAUGGCCGUAAGGCUGAACCAGCCAAGUAGCGUGAGGGAAGACUGCCCUAUGGGUUGUAAACCUCUUUUAUGCGGGGAUAAAGGUGUCCACGUGUGGAUGUUUGCAGGUACCGCAUGAAUAAGGACAGGCUAAUUCCGUGCCAGCAGCCGCGGUAAUACGGAGGGUCCGGGCGUUAUCCGGAUUGACUGGGUUUAAAGGGAGCGUAGGCCGGUCUUUAAGCGUGCCGUGAAGUUUUGUGGCUCAACCAUGGGAGUGCGGUGCGAACUGGCGACCUUGAGUGCGCGGAAGGCAGGCGGAAUUCGUGGUGUAGCAGUGAAAUGCUUAGAUAUCACGAAGAACCCCGGUUGCGAAGGCAGCCUGCCGCAGCGUUACUGACGCUGAAGCUCGAAAGCGCGGGUAUCGAACAGGAUUAGAUACCCGAGUAGUC
rnacentral:rRNA from 1 species